rnacentral:misc_RNA from 1 species
CAAGAUGAAUAGUAUAGUCCCAGGG